CAACACAGCACAGCACCCAUGACCACCUUCCUAGGCGUGUUUUAGGGCAGCAAAGCAUUUAAAAUCUGUCUUCUGCCUCUCACAUCAUGGAGUUUGGCGUGCACACCUCAUCCAGAUUUACACUCCUCAUUUUACUAGCACAUCAGGCCUGGGACAUACCCUCUGGCAGAGACAUAUGGAAUGUCAAAACUGAAGCUUUGGAAUUGUCUAACUUGUUUCCCAGACAAGUCUCACAUGCAACCUUGUUCCCAUCUUGCUAACCACCAGUCUUCCUCCACCUUAUCCUUUGCUGGAAGUGUAAGAACAUCUUGUGUGUGUGUGUAUAUAUAGCUAAAUAGAUGCUGAAGCCUUCAAAAUGGUCUGUUGGCUUGGAAGAGGAUAGGAGAGCCAGAGUUUUUUUCUUGCAUCCUCUCAGUAACGAGCAUUUGAUUAGAAUGUUCUUGGUGCCUCCCUUUUAUUCUAUCCAGCAAAUAAAGUCUCUUUGAAAAUGUC